rnacentral:lncRNA from 1 species
UGCCGGAUUGUCCAAAGAUCCGACACUAUUCGUAGACACUGCUGUGGCCAGAACUUAGUAAACAUUAGGUUUUACCCGCAUGAGCUCAGGGUUUUGACGUCGUCACUUGCGGCUUGGGGGCCCGUUUCAGUAGAUCAGAUAGUUGCUGGAUGCCAGUGGAAAAUAACUCAUCCCUCCACCAGCUUGUAUUGGCGUCAUGUCAAUCCAUCCAUAGGGGCUUGCGGACAUUGGUACCUCUUGUGGCAGGGCAGCACCUCUCCUCCACCGACCUGUUUCCCCUUGAGGAAAAACAAAAGGGGGGGAAGUUGUAACAGGGGAUCACUAUCUUGGACUGAGUGUACUCAGCAUUACCGUCACACCAGGUCGAUCCCCUCUGAGAGAGUUCAUCGCCAUGCAGCAACUUGGAACCCGAUUUACAAGGCGACCGAGGGAUAUAGAUUGUCGCGAAUCUAUGCUGGGCGUUUCGACAGACAUAAUCAAAGGUAACAGCUGAGAGAUACCCUCUUCCUCACCACUACAAUCCGUAUCAGUUCUCCUUCGUAGCCACUUGAUCUAAAAUAUGUUGUGGCAUUUUAUAGAGCAACCUUCGUUUUAACCUUGGGCGUAGUUUGCCUCUUUCAAUUUCUACUCACAUUGGCCUUGAGAAGCCUCUCAAGACCAGACGUCGCUAGGGAGCUGUUUGGGCAUGCGUGACUGUAUUUAUUUCUUUGAUACCUAGAAACGCCAUUUCUUGGUAUCUUGAGUCUGAUUUUAUAUAACUGUCCUGAAAUAUACACAAACAGAAACAUAAUGAAAAUAGAGAAGAAUAAACCAGAUGCACCUACACAUCGCACAUGCUCAAAUUAUGUUGUUGUUUUUAAAUUACACAUGAUAUAACAACCCACUCCCGCCCCCAAAAGAAAAAGAAAAAAAUAGAAGCAAAAAAAAAAAAAGAAAACAAGGGAAAUGAAACAAACAAACAAACAACCCAAAAGCUCGUUGUCGCCAUGACCGCAUGGCUGGUUGUCAGAAUUUUAACUUUCAUGUGGAGAUACUAGUCUUCAUGACAAGUUUACAACCAUUUUGUUGUCGUCAGACAUAUGCUGUCUUGUGUAUUUGGUUCAAAUGCAGCUUCUGAACCUGGAAAGUAUCGUGCUAACGCGGUGAGGUCAGACAUAUGCUGUCUUCUGUAUUUGGUUCAAACGCAGCUUCUAAACCUGGAAAGUAUCGUGCUAACGGGGGGUCAGAGACGGCACAGCUGGGAUCAACCAUGGAACAUUCUACAGCGACAAGCUCUCUGGUUUGCAGGAUGUCGAAAAUGUGAACGUUCGCAGCAGAUGAAUGGAUGUACCUGACUGACAAACACUGGACAACGCGCCACGACAUGCAAAUCGUGUACGUCAAAACUACAAAAUUACCAAU